AUAAAAAACUAUUGAGAUGUUUUACAUUCCUUUUUCUGUUACAGUCUUUGAAAUCUGGCGUGUAUUUUAUGCUUACAGCACGUCUCAGUUCGGAACAGCCAUGCUUCAGGUGCCCGGUCUCCACAUGUGGCUCGUGGCCACCACGCUGGACAGCUGGGUGCAGGAGUCUGAUGGUGGUGGAGCCGAGGGCCACCUCGGGAAGGUCAGCUGGCCACUUAUAUGAGGAGUAUCAUCUUGGCAAAGCUGACGCAUCCAGUGUCUGAUAAGGAAACUCGCAAGCUCACACACCUAGCAGACGUUCUCGGGAAGCCAAACGCCGAUCAGCCGGUUGCUUGAGCGUGGAUUCUGAGCAAGGGAAGCAAGUCGCCUCACGCGUCCUGCAGGGACGGACCUGCUGAUACUUGUUUGUGGACCACGGUUCCCCUGAAUGAGGUUACAGAUUCUCUGUCAGGAGCUGCUUCUCCACGCCUGCUUGAUUGGCACAUCCAGCAGACACGUCAGACCUUCAGCCUUGCAUCAGCUGAGCCUGCCUGGGCCCCAUCUGCCAGCCUAUCAGUCUAUCAUCAUGAGCAACUAUGUGGAAACUAGUCUGUCAAUGCCGAAGUCACAUGGUCACAGUAUCCGAGUUCCUGUUGUGUGCAGAACUGCACUGGAUGUAAUAAAGCUUACAGAAGGAGCCCUCUGACCUUUACAAGAGGCUGGAGAAUCUUCCAGGGGAGAGAAGUUUGAGAAGCUCCAGCUAGAGGAACAUUAACUUUUCCAGUCCCUACCAAGUGGACUAAGGACAACAGCUUUCAGGGAAACAUCCAAGAUUUCUGGAUCCUUCCAUGGAUCUUUAAAUUACAUACGGGGAGAACUUUGUGUUUGUUUGACCAGAGAUCACAGUACGUGGAGUCAAAGAAACUAAGGUUUGAGUCCUGAUCCUAUCCAAACUGUUUCAGCUUCCUACCCACCCUUGGGAGGCAUGGGGAUCUUAGCUCCCUGACCAGGGAUGGAACCCACACGCCCUGCAUUGGAAGCACUGGACAGCACUACAGUGAAAACAGUUUCCAUGAUCCUUGACUUCCCUCUUUAAAGGAAAGCAUUAUGGAAUUUCAGCAGCAAACAUGAGCAGGUUCCUACUCAAACCCCGUCCCCAAUCCAAGAAAACGUGAAGAGAGAAUCUAAAAAGUUGUGUUCAAGUUUCCCUCACAGUCUCAUGUGGUCAUGUGACCGAGCUGUGUCUAACAAGAUGGUAAGCCACCUCGGAAGGCCGCUUAGAGGGCAAUGACUCAACUCCACAAGAAAGAAAGUCCUUUCAUCUCUAGCCCUACCCACUUUUCCUGCUCCUGAGAGCCCUGAGAGUCGCUGAAGGCCAGAAGCUAACCUUGACAGGAAAGCCAAAGCUAAGGAUGGCAAAGAGCCUGGCUGGUCCCUGAGGACACAGUGGAGCCACUGUCACCUUCAGACUACCCACUCUGGAUAUUUUUGACUUGAGAAAAAUAAACUUCCAUCACCAUUAUUUUGGGCUUCUGUUUGAUGUAGUCAAACUUAGAUUGACUGUUAUAACAUUCACCAACAUUAUAUUGUAUUUUAGUUUUCCUUUAACUGAAUAUUGCUAUUUUAUUUUUGCUUGAGAGCUAUGAUAAUUCAUUCUACCUGGUGUUUGAAUGAAUGAAUUCUUGGACCUUUAGCUUUUGGUAUUUUGCACUGAAUUCAGUUGUUUUUCUUCAUAUCUAAUUUUGAUUAUGCCCUGGUAAUUAAACUAUCAUACACAGAGGAUGCUUGCAAAUUGUUUUUUACCUGUAGUAUUAAUUAUUAAACAAAAAUAUUUGGAGAAUAAAUGUGCUCGUUAUUACCUAACCCUACUACCUAGCUAGCAACCAACUUUAAUAGUACUAACCUUAUUCACUUUAUUUAAUUUGGAAUAUCUGUGGGGUAGGGAAAUAUAUUUGGCUUGCAAAGCUUUAAUUACCAUUUC